AUUGAACGCUGGCGGCAGGCCUAACACAUGCAAGUCGAGCGAGCGGCGGACGGGUGAGUAAUGUCUGGGAAACUGCCUGAUGGAGGGGGAUAACUACUGGAAACGGUAGCUAAUACCGCAUACCAUCAGAUGUGCCCAGAUGGGAUUAGCUAGUAGGUGGGGUAACGGCUCACCUAGGCGACGAUCCCUAGCUGGUCUGAGAGGAUGACCAGCCACACUGGAACUGAGACACGGUCCAGACUCCUACGGGAGGCGGCAGUGGGGAAUCUUGCACAAUGGGCGCAAGCCUGAUGGAGCCAGGCAGCGGGUGUGAAGAGGGCCUUCGGGUUGUAAAGCACUUUCGGCGGGGGGGCGGUACUUGGAGAAGAAGCGCCGGCUAACUCCGUGCCAGCAGCCGCGGUAAUAC
rnacentral:rRNA from 1 species